ACAGAGAGCGGUUUGAUAUGUCACUGAAACCAGCAUCCAGGUGGUAUUGCUCCAUAUGCCUGAGACCCUAACAAAAGCCUAAUUACAACUCAUAUGCCUGGAGCCAGGACAUGUGCAGGAUGGUGAUGUAACUUUCCUCUCUGGAAUGGGUCCUGCACAAAGGAAUGAUAGUAACAUAUUGCAAAGCCAGACACACAGCCAUGAUGGUCCAAGUUAUAUUGGGAUUCAGCCAAUAGAAGAUAUUUUGCCUGUCAUCCCUAAGCUUAGGACAAUAGACUCUGCCAAGAGAGGGGAUUAUUACAUAUUGCAGAGCCCAGCACCUAGGUGGAGUGACUCUCAUCUUUUUCUUCUACCCCGUAUAUAGCCAGCUUGGUGACCUACUAUUUGAGUCUAUACCCAGGCCCAGACCACAGAUGAAAUUGUGCAAUAUGUGGAACAAACACCUAAACAAUAUAUAACACCUUCCUUGGCUCUGUCUACAAAGGGCACUUUUAUAUAUCACUGGGACCAUCAACCAGGUGAUAUAACCCUCUUCUCUGGAAUGGGCCCCACACAAAGGAAGGAUAGUGACAUAUUGCAAGCCCAGGCACACAGGCCCAGAGCACAGUUGAAAUUGUGACAUAUGUACACCAAGCAACCAAGCAAUGUAUAACACCUCAUUUGGCAAUGGAAUCGAGGGCACUUUUACAUAUCACUGAGACCAGCGCCCAGCUGAUGUGAAAUAUUGGCCUGAACCCUGCCUACAAAAGCAUUGUGGCUUUUAUCUAGCUCCAUUACAUAAGUGAUGUGACUUCCUUCUACUGCCUUGGCCCUGCACUUAUGGUGAAUCGUGACACAAAAUUGGGUAGAGCAACCAGCCUGGGCCCUGACCAGCACAGAGAUUGAGGCAUAUUGCUGAACCCAGGACCAAGAUGAAGUCACUCUCCUGCCUUGAUCCUGCACACAGGGACCCUUGUGACAUAUAUACAGGCCAAUUGCCUAGGUGAUGUUGUGCAAUAUACCUGAGACCAGAUCAAUGGCCUAAUAA
rnacentral:lncRNA from 1 species